UAGGUGGCGAGCGUUAUCCGGAUUUAUUGGGCGUAAAGCGUGCGCAGGCGGCUUAUUAAGUCUAAGAUUAAAGCCCGGAGCUUAACUCCGGUUCGUCUUAGAAACUGGUAGGCUUGAGUAUGGUAGAGGCAAAUGGAAUUCCUAGUGUAGCGGUGGAAUGCGUAGAUAUUAGGAGGAACACCAGUGGCGAAGGCGGUUUGCUGGGCCAUCACUGACGCUCAUGCACGAAAGCGUGGGGAGCAAA
rnacentral:rRNA from 1 species